UUGCAGUUCCUCCCACUGUCACUGGUAGCUGUGAUUUGCAAAACUUCCAUGUCUUUGUGAAAUACGGCACCAGUGGCUCAAACUUUGAGACUGUAGUGGGGAAACAAGUGCUGACUUCAGAUUUGGCUGAGCAGUACAGUUUUGCAGAGAAUGGAACACACUUCAGUCUUCAAGUCCCCUAUUCAUCCCCUAAUGUUCUGUUUCAGGCUGUUGAGCCAUCAUUCAUCAGGAGCAGACUUCGUGUGGUUCUGAAGAAUCCUGAGACAAGCACGAAUAUCAAAGAAUUUUCAUUGGCCUGUAACUUUCCCUCAAGACUGAUUGAGUGUUUCCCUAAUGGAACCAUUACGGCACUAGCUGUGAAACUGGAAUCUGUCCCCAGUCUGAACCCCAGUCAUCUCACACUCAGAGACCCCACCUGUGGUCC